GGGCUAAUGCCGGAUAACAUGUUGAACCGCAUGGUUCUACAGUGAAAGACGGUCUUGCUGUCACUUAUAGAUGGACCCGCGCCGUAUUAGCUAGUUGGUGGGGUAACGGCCUACCAAGGCGACGAUACGUAGCCGACCUGAGAGGGUGAUCGGCCACACUGGAACUGAGACACGGUCCAGACUCCUACGGGAGGCAGCAGUAGGGAAUCUUCCGCAAUGGGCGAAAGCCUGACGGAGCAACGCCGCGUGAGUGAUGAAGGUCUUCGGAUCGUAAAGCUCUGUUGUUAGGGAAGAACAAAUGUGUAAGUAACUGUGCACAUCUUGACGGUACCUAACCAGAAAGCCACGGCUAACUACGUGCCAGCAGCCGCGGUAAUACGUAGGUGGCAAGCGUUAUCCGGAAUUAUUGGGCGUAAAGCGCGCGUAGGCGGUUUUUUAAGUCUGAUGUGAAAGCCCACGGCUCAACCGUGGAGGGUCAUUGGAAACUGGAAAACUUGAGUGCAGAAGAGGAAAGUGGAAUUCCAUGUGUAGCGGUGAAAUGCGCAGAGAUAUGGAGGAACACCAGUGGCGAAGGCGGCUUUCUGGUCUGCAACUGACGCUGAUGUGCGAAAGCGUGGGGAUCAAACAGGAUUAGAUACCCUGGUAGUCCACGCCGUAAACGAUGAGUGCUAAGUGUUAGGGGGUUUCCGCCCCUUAGUGCUGCAGCUAACGCAUUAAGCACUCCGCCUGGGGAGUACGGUCGCAAGACUGAAACUCAAAGGAAUUGACGGGGACCCGCACAAGCGGUGGAGCAUGUGGUUUAAUUCGAAGCAACGCGAAGAACCUUACCAAAUCUUGACAUCCUUUGACCGCUCUAGAGAUAGAGUUUUCCUCUUCGGAGGACAAAGUGACAGGUGGUGCAUGGUUGUCGUCAGCUCGUGUCGUGAGAUGUUGGGUUAAGUCCCGCAACGAGCGCAACCCUUGAACUUAGUUGCCAUCAUUCAGUUGGGCACUCUAAGUUGACUGCCGGUGACAAACCGGAGGAAGGUGGGGAUGACGUCAAAUCAUCAUGCCCCUUAUGAUUUGGGCUACACACGUGCUACAAUGGA
rnacentral:rRNA from 1 species